rnacentral:rRNA from 1 species
AGAGUUUGAUCCUGGCUCAGGAUGAACGCUAGCGGCGGGCCUAAUACAUGCAAGUCGAACGGGAUUGUUGGUAGCAAUACUGACAUGAGAGUGGCGCACGGGUGCGUAACACGUAUGUAACCUGCCUUUAACUGGGGCAUAGCUUCGAGAAAUCGAAAUUAAUACCCCAUAAUGUAAAGAAGAGGCAUCUCUUUUUUACCAAAGCUCCGGCGGUUAAAGAUGGACAUGCGGUGCAUUAGCUUGUUGGUGAGGUAAUGGCUCACCAAGGCUUCGAUGCAUAGGGGGUCUGAGAGGAUGAUCCCCCACACUGGUACUGAGACACGGACCAGACUCCUACGGGAGGCAGCAGUAGGGAAUAUUGGGCAAUGGACGCAAGUCUGACCCAGCCACGCCGCGUGAAGGAUGACGGCCCUAUGGGUUGUAAACUUCUUUUGUAUGGGAAGAAACCCCUCUACGUGUAGAGGGCUGACGGUACCAUAAGAAUAAGCAUCGGCUAACUCCGUGCCAGCAGCCGCGGUAAUACGGAGGAUGCAAGCGUUGUCCGGAUUCAUUGGGUUUAAAGGGUGCGUAGGCGGAGAAUUAAGUCAGUGGUGAAAGCUUGCAGC